AGCCGACAUUCCGUCUAGUCCUGGUGCUUUGAGAUCACCCAUGCCAUCAAGAGCCUUUUUCAGUUCCUCUCGAGUGAAUUCUGCCUUGAGCAUAUCGUUCAUAGCUUGGGACACACUAACUGGAGCAGGCGCCGCUGCCGGAUCUCAUUUCCUCAUCCUUCUUCCAGGCCAGACCACCAGAUCCGGAGUGCCGCCGCCGGAUCCCGUCCCCGUAGGAACCCUUCGCGUCACCGCGAAUCCCACAGCGGCGGACAUGGUGGCCUCUGCAGGUGAGCUGGCUCCGGCCGCUCGGCUGUCCACUCCGCUCCAGGAUCCCCUGCUCCCGUGCUCCACCACCACCAGUGGCCCCACGCGCGCCACCGGGAGUCCCAAGGCAGCGGCCAUGGUGGCCUCUACAGACGACCGCUCGGGUCCGCCGCCGCUCCAGCACCGACCGAUGGGCGGCCAUGGCACUCCGCCCGUCGACCUACUAACUCUGUUUUUUUCGACUGAGGCGCUUGCAAGGAUGAGGGGAAUAGGGGGAUAAGGAGCUGGGCUCUAGAUCCAAAGGGCGCUGCCUCUUACAGCAGCUGGACAUCUAUCAAGAGGGUGCUGGAUUGGCAGUCCUCCACAGUUGCUGGGAAGAAGAAGAUGGGCACCUCCUUCGCCCAGCCGCUCCUUUGGGAUCCUGCUACACUCCUCGCCACCACCUUCUCCUUCUCCCAGCUGGCCGCCCCCUUUCUUUGCAGCUUGACAUAAAGAUUAGCAUGUGUGUGUGUCCUGCAGCUCGAGAGGGACAAAAUAGGAGGUCACCAUGAAAUGUCGAAAGAGAAAGAGAGGCCGUAAGAGUGGAUCAUUCAUUUGUCAUUGGUUUCUCAUCACUUAUCCAAUACUUUCUUUGUUGCUAUCUUUCGAUGAUGUACUGACUUGCUAUAUCUAUAUUCUCCAUAUGUAAAUACGCAAGGGAGUGGAUACCAGUAUAUUACUCUUUCCGUCCAUAUAAUCAGAUGGUUGUUUGUCAAUUUUAUAAAAUUCUUUGGAUUUGCUCAAUAUGUGGCAUGUACCUAGGACCAUUCACUCCAAUGUGGUAUGAGAACAUUUAUUUUCUAAUUGUUCUUGGUUUGAUGUCAAGGCCUACUCAUUCUUGAAAUCUAUGUGGAUUUUUCAGAAACACUAUGUUCCAAGAACUUUAUUCAAUAGAGCUGGGCAUAUAGGUCCGUCAUGACUGGCAAUGCCCUAUAGGAUGGCUUGGUUGAUGCAAUCCGUGUAUCCCUCACCGAUCCACUUGGAACUCAUGCUACAGACCAUCAAUUAGGUGUGGAUAACCAUACUCAAGUCUGGUAGUGUGAUGGCUCCUGUGGAACUAAUCUCUGCACAAUUUGUUUCAAUGAGCACCCAGUAAGGGAGAACACUACUGAUACAGUAUAUAUUGGACAUUGAAUUGGUGCUCCAUGGAGCCAGGGCACCAUGAUUUAUACACAAAUCCAAACCAAAUUUGGGUAUAGUUUUUCUGGAAAUUUUAGUUCUGGGGUAUAAUACCUGAUUAUUAUAGAAUUCAAGUACUCUACAUCUGGGAUAUUGCUGUGCAUAUCUAUUUCUGCAUACCAUACUGCUUGUAUAUAAAAUCAACAUAUAUCUGCAGUCAAACAAUCAUUAGAAAAAGUAACUGCAAUUUGGCUUUAGUACAAAUAUUUCACAUA